UACGGAGGGAGCUAGCGUUGUUCGGAAUUACUGGGCGUAAAGCGCACGUAGGCGGCUAUUCAAGUCAGAGGUGAAAGCCCGGGGCUCAACCCCGGAACUGCCUUUGAAACUAGAUAGCUAGAAUCUUGGAGAGGUCAGUGGAAUUCCGAGUGUAGAGGUGAAAUUCGUAGAUAUUCGGAAGAACACCAGUGGCGAAGGCGACUGACUGGACAAGUAUUGACGCUGAGGUGCGAAAGCGUGGGGAGCAAGCAGG
rnacentral:rRNA from 1 species